rnacentral:lncRNA from 1 species
CCUUGGUAUACAAAGUGCAGUGGUGCGUAACGCUUCGAGCACACCGACUGCGUCACUGCUGCAUAACAUUUUGAGCAGCUAGGCAACUAUACUGAUGCAGGUAUCUUUUGCAGAUGGUCGCAUGCGGUUGGACACAUGGAGGAGAGAAUCAUUUUCGCAGUGUCCUCAAAACCGUGUCUUUUUGACACUACUGCUGACAGCUACAGGGACAUAAACACGAAAAAUGCUGCUUGGAGACAAGUGUCCACGAUAGUAGGAUUGCCAGGGAGGCCAUUUUUUCCCCAUCAGUGACCCCUGUUCUUCGACGGACUCUGGCUGGACUUAAGAUGACUGAAGACAACACAAAGUUAGAAAUGUUUCAUAGUAUGCGGUGACCAUCCGCAACAGAGCCUUCAACUGCAAGGGGGCGUUGCGUUUCCACUCCGUUGUGGACCGCCC